rnacentral:rRNA from 1 species
ACGGAGGGUGCGAGCGUUAAUCGGAAUCACUGGGCGUAAAGCGCACGUAGGCGGUGUCGUAAGUCGGAUGUGAAAGCCCUCGGCUCAACCGGGGAACUGCAUUCGAUACUGCGAGGCUUGAGUGCCGGAGAGGGUGGCGGAAUUCCAGGUGUAGGAGUGAAAUCCUGUGAUCUCUGGGGGAGCACCAGUGGCGAAGGCGUCUCACUGGCCCGCAUCUGACGCUGAGGUGCGAAAGCGGGGGGAGCAAACAG